rfam:Nicotiana sylvestris Nsyl_contig58320, whole genome shotgun sequence.
GGUUCCAUGGUCUAGUGGUCAGGUCAUUGGUCUCUGAAUCCAGUAACCCGAGUUGAAAUCUCGGAGGAACCU